UAAGGUGACUUUUGGAACCCCUAAGUACCCUAGGAUGUUAGCCUCAUUUUGAAUGAUAAAAAUUUGAGUUUUAUGGCUUGAAAACAUUCAUGGAGCUCUUAUGGGUUUUCAUGGAUGUUCUUCAUUGUUCUUGAAGUUCUUGCCAAGAACAAAAAGGUUUUGUGUUUUGAUUCAAAGUUUUGAAUAUUUCAUAAAGUUUAUGUUAUAUGUUUUACAAAUGAUUUAUCAUGUAUUUAAAGUGUUAAAUAUUUGAAUAAAUGAUGAUGGAAACAUCAAUCAUCAAAACAUAUAUUAAUUUUAUGAAAGUAUUUAAAGUGUUAAAUAUUUGAAUAAAUGAUGAUGGAAACAUCAAUCAUCAAAACAUAUAUUAAUUUUAUGAAAGUAUUUAAAGUGUUAAAUAUUUGUAUAAAUGAUGAUGGAAACAUCAAUCAUCAAAACAUAUAUUAUUUUUAUGAAAGGUGAAAGCACUACUUGAUUGUUUUUUUUUUUGACAAAACUAAUAAAUCAAAACACCCAUCACUCAUUUUUAUCCCUAAAAACCGGCCACCCUAAUAAAAUAGGGUAUUUUUGGGGCUUUUAUGCAAUUACAUAA
rnacentral:lncRNA from 1 species